rnacentral:rRNA from 1 species
UACACUCCUGCGGGAGGCAGCAGUGGGGAAUUUUGGACAAUGGGCGAAAGCCUGAUCCAGCAAUGCCGCGUGUGUGAAGAAGGCCUUCGGGUUGUAAAGCACUUUUGUCCGGAAAGAAAUCCUUGGCUCUAAUACAGUCGGGGGAUGACGGUACCGGAAGAAUAAGCACCGGCUAACUACGUGCCAGCAGCCGCGGUAAUACGUAGGGUGCGAGCGUUAAUCGGAAUUACUGGGCGUAAAGCGUGCGCAGGCGGUUUGCUAAGACCGAUGUGAAAUCCCCGGGCUCAACCUGGGAACUGCAUUGGUGACUGGCAGGCUAGAGUAUGGCAGAGGGGGGUAGAAUUCCACGUGUAGCAGUGAAAUGCGUAGAGAUGUGGAGGAAUACCGAUGGCGAAGGCAGCCCCCUGGGCCAAUACUGACGCUCAUGCACGAAAGCGUGGGGAGCAAACAGGAUUAGAUACCCGUGUAGUCCC